UAAAUUAUAAUACGCUAGAAUUUAUACAAACCAUGAAAGGAAAUUAUAUUCAUCCACAAAAUCAUCAUAAAAAAUAUUCAUCUAGUAUUAUCCAAAUGUAAGAGAAUAUUGACUAACAAUUCAAGAGUUAGAUUGCAUAUAAGUUUGCAAAAUAUUCAAAAAUAAGUACAGUCCUAAAACAUCUGAAGGUAUAGAUCAACCAAUACUCUUUAAGUAAGGUUUUCACUGCUUUCAUCUCCCAUUUGUUCAAUUUCUUCACCUACAAAUUCAAAAGACAUAACAAUAUUUAGAGGGUAAGGAAAAAACUAAACAUAUUCAACCAGUACUUCAACAAGUAAGAAAAUUGAGGUUAUCUUCAACCAACACUUCAUCUAUUUACUACUGUAACUACUUUUAGAUGACUAGUUUUUGAAGUACAAAAUUUAUAAUAUCACAUCAAUAAUAAUAGUAAAUGUGUGUGUGUAAGCGCCAAGACCAUUGUAAGCGCCAACAGUCACAUCAUAUUGUUGCCAUUGUAAGUGCGAAGGUCAUGAGGAGAUAUAUUGUCAUAGGUUACACAGAAAAAUAGUAGCAUCAACUCAAUGUGUUAAUGACGAGGUCGAGGAAGAUGCUCAACCUGUAGAAAAAUUACAAGGUGAUACCAGGGAUGUUUUGAAUGUAAAGAAACAAUAAAAUUUGGAGCUUGCAAAAUCUACGGGAGCUUGGUUGAUGUUGGAACAGGCAGGGCUUCACAUGUAUUGGAGGCAGGUUCAACAAAGGAGAAGGACAAUCCUAAUCCUAGUUUAACAAGACUGUUGGUGCUGAACAGAUUGCUCCAGCUGGUGCCGUUGGUCGUGGUGCAGUUUAGAAUCGAGCUACUACAGGUAGUAAUCAACAAGGAACUGAUGAAUCAAGGAGUUAGGAGUGGUAUAAAUGCUCUAGAAACUGUGCAGGUAAAGCUGGAUCAACAGAAAACUGUUUGGAAGUCUAAACUUCCUGCUGAUAUCCAUGCCGCUACUGCUUUAGCGAGGAUUUACCAGGCUGUGGGUUCUAAUUUAUAAAAUAAAAUUACUGUGGAUAGGAUUGGUGCCCAAGGUGAGGGUGCUACUAUGUGACUAAUGGAGAGGUGAAUGUGCAUAAGGCCUAUACUACAACUGUUGAACAAAAAGAGCAGGACUUGGCUACUAAGGGAUCAAAUUAUCAAGUUGCUGCUUUGUUAGCAACUGGUAAAUCUGGUGAGCAGGUGCCUGCCAAUAUUGCUGCUUUGGAGGUGAAUCAAAUACACUUAACAAUGCACAAGUUGAAUCUGAGCAAUUCUGCAACUUUAAGAAAAUAGUCUACGGUGCAGGCUAGAAUUGUGAGGCAAUAGGAAGGAAAUAAGAUGGACAGGAAUGUAAUCAAAUGGCAGUAGCUAAACAUGCUAUUCAUCUCACUACUGAUCAGCCCACUACUGGUGCACAAACAGCUCUUUUGAAGGGUGGAAGCAAGCAGGUUGUGCAUAAGGAAGAUACAAAAGCAGCUGCUAAAAAACCAGCAGCUCCUAUAGCUAGUCCUGUGCAACAGGUAGGUGUGGAAGAAAGAGCAUGACAAGUUCUUUUCCAGGCAAAUCCGGAGCAGGUUGUGCAUAAAGAAUAUACACAAACAGCUGCUGAAAAACCAGCAGCUCCUAUAGCUAUUGUUGUGCAACAGGUAGGUGCGGAAGAAAGAGCUGGACAGGUGCUUUUCCAAGCAAAUCUGGACAGUUAUGAGGCAGAAGGCAUCACCAGGCGCAAAGAAAAAACAACAAAAUUUGACUGUUUCAGCAGGUCGACAAAAAGCUCCAAUGACAGUAGUUAAUCGAGCACAUACACUUAGAGCACCCAUCACUUUAAAAUCAGGAUUAAUUAAAAAAAUGCAAAUUUCUAACUGUACAAUCUAAAAAUUAGAAGCAUCAAUUAGCACACAUUUUACAAGGACAUAAUAUUUCAUUUUCUUGGGAAGCUCGUUCACAUGCCUUAUCAAGAAAAUUAUUCACUCCGCGGAUAUACUCAUCAGUGGAUCUUCGAAGACCCAUCCAAAUUUUAUCUCCAUUACUCAUUUAAUAUCCUAUGGGACACAAAAGUAAAUCAACAAUUAAUCCCUGUUCCAGUAAGACACACUUGUAGUAUUCAAAUAUGUUGUUGUAUCACCAAAGGUAAUACAUGCACCUUGAUUCAUAUCCAACUCCCCGAUAUUAGCACUAUUUAUUCAGUCAUCCAUUUAAUAAUUGCUUCCUGCUUUUCCAAACUAAUUGUAAAUAUUUAUUGCAAAUUUGGAAGCCACUAGAAAAGAAAAAAACAGAAAGGUUAUAAAGUUGAUUAUUGAUCAACCACACCUAACCUUCUCAAGACGUGAGGGAGAAAAGAUCAUGUUUUAGGUUUCAAUUUUACACAUAGAAAUAUACUGGUAAUUUUGGAGACAUAUACUCGACCACAAGCAUCUAAAAGGGACCUUUCAGUAGGAAGAUUUUAUAAAAAUUGCCAAACAACUUAUAAAAAACAAAAAUAAUUGUCACUCUUCUAUAUACAAACAACAAUAAUUCAUGCACAUUUUACAAUCAACUUAAUGCAAGUACCAUAUAAAAACUACAAUAUUUCCACAUAUUUUUUACCAACAAAGUAAGACAAUUUACGAAGUACGAAUUACAACCUAUGCGCAUACACCUUUCACCAAUAAUUUGACAUAGCCAAACUAGUAAGCCACAAAUUAUAUCAAGGAAAACAUAUGAGAAUUUUCAAGAAUAAGAAAUAAGAUCCAUGUAGAUAACGUCAAGUUACCUGAAUUGAUAGCGACUCCUCUAAGUUCACAACCUGAAAAGCCAAUUCUGAUGAUAAGAAACUAGUUGUAGUAAAAGUUAGUCUGCUUCUUUUUUCUUUUACUAAAUUUCCAACAAAACUCAAAACAAAAUUCCUGCAAAUAGAUUUUAAUAAACGCAGAUGCCUACCACCCCACCAAACAAAAAGUGAGCAAGCUGAAUAACAGAAGCUCGUGCUUGCAAACUUGGCAUAAAAGAAAAGAGAAGUACACUACCAUUUGCAACAACUUUGCUACAGAUGAUGGUAUUUGCAAAAGAGCACACCCAGAUGACACUCCAAAGACCAAUACUAAACUGAAUAUCUGGAUGCAAUGGAAGCAAGACCAUUUUUGGGACCAUUAUGUAUGUGAAGCUUAUGCAUUUUUCCAAAUUGUCAGAAUGGAUCCUUUGCACAAUCUUAUAAAAUUGUAUUGUGCAGCAAAUAACACUACUGAGUACUCAGCAGUAGACAAGCAUGUUAGAAAAUUUCGUCCAAGAAGGGCGACUAAUAGCAAUUUAUCCAUAAAAUAAAAUUUAGGCCUUUCAUAUCUCAAUUAUAGAAGGAAAUAGAACAUUUGGAUUUUUAAUUUUAGGUAGUAAUUAGGCUUGUCAAAGUUAUUGGAAGGAUAUAGGUCAGAAUUAGGCGUGUCUCAGGUCAAUGAAGUAGAUACAUUAGUGUUUGUAUAUUUAUUGAAAAUAUACAUGAGAGCUUGCACAAUUGUCCAGGUUGUGAGAGCUUAAGGAAUUCCAAGACCAUUAGUGAUAUGAAUGAAUGACAAAUGUGUUUCUUACGUAAGAGCUUGCACAAUUUACCAUUACUCUUAAACAGAACGGUUGAGCGGCAGAAUGAAAUGUUUCUGUUGGUUGUUCUUGUCAAGUAUCAGAAAUUCUGUUUCACACUACCAACAUUCUAAAAUUUCUAAAUUGGUUUUGGUUAUGUACUUCACUGUGACUCUUGGAGCAUUUGUAAGAUUUCAGUGUGUUUAAACAUUUACUUUUGUAAUUAUAUGUUAUGCUUUCAUUAAUUAAAUCUCUAUCAAUUCAAACCAAAAAAGAAAAAAAAAAGAAAAAUAGAUUAAAAGAAAAACUUAGAGAUUGAACAGUUGCAAAAGGCAGAACAGUUGCAAAGAGGAAACCAAAGUAGAAAAUUCCACAAACUGAACCAUCAGUUUCUCAUUCUCAACAUACCCCUCAACAACCAUUUUAGAACACAAGAGCAAAAUCAUCAACAAACCAACCAAAAAAGUGAAAUCUCAAGAUAUAAACAACAUUUUUCUCUAACUCUCUAGCUUUUGAAUUUCCCUAUUCAAGUUUUUGAACUUCUCUAUUCAAGUUUUUGAACUUUUUCGACCUCAACGAUGGAGCUUCGAAGGGUAUUUCUCAUUUUACUUUCCUUCCAAACAGAAAUAGACUCAAUAUUUAGUACAAAAUCAACUUUGAAUAAAAAUUUGGCUCAAAGAAUUGAAACCCAGCUUCUAAAACACCAAUUUUACUAAAACCCCAAAUUUUGAGCAAUCUUCUUUAAUUUUUUUUAUCACAGAAUUUUUUACGGAGUUCUCAAAUUUUCACCAAAUUUGAGAUAAAAGCUUUAAACCACACUAAAUUUAAACAUCAAACAUUAAUUAGAACAAAACAUAAUGACUUCAUAGAAACCCAUUUGUGUAUUUUGUAAGCUUUUCCAAAAACCCUUGAAUGGUAAAUCUAGAGACAAAGAAGUUUUAAGCCAUGGAGGAGAGAGAAUCAUGCACACCUUUUGUGGUAGAGAACAAUAGUAUACUUGGUAGAACAAUUCCUUCGCUGGAUGUGGGUUUGAAGAAGGCAUCAAUUCGCUGAGGGUUUUAUCGCAUGAAGAUCGAGAAAGUCGGAAAGGAGUAAGAAGACCCUGUUUUGAUAUGUAUACUUUAAUUUUUGGUAUUACUUUUUAAUUAUAAAAAUGAUAGCAUUCUCAAGUUUAGUGAAAUAUUGGAGGGAAACUAAAUUGUCCCAAUAAUAUUUUUUUUAGAAAGAACCAUCCCCACAGAGUUAUUUUACAAAUCUGUCUCCAUAAAUAUCUUUGUGGCAACGGUUAUUGUACUACUGCGAUGGUUUCAUUUUAGUACUGUCUUAAUAGGCCUAAGAGGCUAUUGCGACAAUUAUAACCCUUGCAAUAGACCAUCUAUUGUAAGGGUUACAUAACUGAUGCUAAAUAACUGAUGCAAUAGGUGUAAUUUCUAGUAGUGUCGAUUACGGUCCAAAUUCUAAGACUUAAGCCUCAUUUAAGGACUAAGUAUCCCAAAACACUCUGAAACUCAAAACGAAUUACCUCGUCAAGUCACAAUAGCAGAAAUAGAUAUGAGGAAAAUAGUUAAUAGGGGAUCAGGGCGUUAAUUCUCAAAACGAUUGGCCGGGUCAUUGCAGUAGAGGAGUUUGAAUGAAUGGAUAUUCCCGUCUCUCUCUCUGCGUGAGUGUGGUCUCUUCGAAGAGUGUGAGAGAGGUCAGGCGGCUGGUUUUUUGUUCUUCUUAGAGGAGUGAAAUUAAGGUUUUUUUGUAGGGGGGAUACGUCUCUAUAG
rnacentral:lncRNA from 1 species